GGAUUGUAGCUCAGUGGUAGAGUGCUUGCCUAGCACAUAUGUAUGAGGCCCUGUGUUCAAUCCUCAGCACCA
rnacentral:tRNA from 1 species